rnacentral:rRNA from 1 species
CCUACGGGAGGCUGCAGUGGGGAAUAUUGGACAAUGGGGGCAACCCUGAUCCAGCCAUGCCGCGUGUGUGAAGAAGGCCCUCGGGUUGUAAAGCACUUUCAGUGAGGAAGAACGCCUGGUGGUUAAUACCCAUCAGGAAAGACAUCACUCACAGAAGAAGCACCGGCUAACUCCGUGCCAGCAGCCGCGGUAAUACGGAGGGUGCGAGCGUUAAUCGGAAUUACUGGGCGUAAAGCGCGCGUAGGUGGCUUGAUAAGCCGGUUGUGAAAGCCCCGGGCUCAACCUGGGAACGGCAUCCGGAACUGUCAAGCUAGAGUGUAGGAGAGGAAGGUAGAAUUCGCGGUGUAGCGGUGAAAUGCGUAGAGAUCGGGAGGAAUACCAGUGGCGAAGGCGGCCUUCUGGACUGACACUGACGCUGAGGUGCGAAAGCGUGGGUAGCAAACAGGAUUAGAUACCCGAGUAGUC